UGGCGAACGGGUGAGUAACACGUGGGCAACCUGCCCUCAGCUCUGGGAUAACUCCAAGAAAUUGGGGCUAAUACCGGAUAUGUCUGCUGACCGCAUGGUCUGGUGGUGGCCAGUUUUUCGGAAUGGGGAUGGGCCCGCGGCCUAUCAGCUUGUUGGUGGGGUAGUGGCCUACCAAGGCGACGACGGGUAGCCGGCCUGAGAGGGUGACCGGCCACACUGGGACUGAGACACGGCCCAGACUCCUACGGGAGGCAGCAGUGGGGAAUAUUGCGCAAUGGGCGAAAGCCUGACGCAGCGACGCCGCGUGGGGGAUGACGGCCUUCGGGUUGUAAACCUCUUUCAGUAGGGACGAAGCGCAAGUGACGGUACCURCAGAAGAAGCACCGGCCAACUACGUGCCAGCAGCCGCGGUAAUACGUAGGGUGCAAGCGUUGUCCGGAAUUAUUGGGCGUAAAGAGCUCGUAGGCGGUUCGUCGCGUCGGCUGUGAAAUCCCGAGGCUCAACCUCGGGUCUGCAGUCGAUACGGGCGGACUUGAGUACUGCAGGGGAGACUGGAAUUCCUGGUGUAGCGGUGAAAUGCGCAGAUAUCAGGAGGAACACCGGUGGCGAAGGCGGGUCUCUGGGCCGAAACUGACGCUGAGGAGCGAAAGCGUGGGGAGCGAACAGGAUUAGAUACCCUGGUAGUCCACGCCGUAAACGUUGGGCGCUAGGUGUGGGGCUCAUUCCACGAGUUCCGUGCCGCAGCUAACGCAUUAAGCGCCCCGCCUGGGGAGUACGGCCGCAAGGCUAAAACUCAAAGGAAUUGACGGGGGCCCGCACAAGCGGCGGAGCAUGUUGCUUAAUUCGAUGCAACGCGAAGAACCUUACCUAGGCUUGACAUGCACGGAAAUCCUCCAGAGAUGGUGGGUCCGUAAGGGCCGUGCACAGGUGGUGCAUGGUUGUCGUCAGCUCGUGUCGUGAGAUGUUGGGUUAAGUCCCGCAACGAGCGCAACCCUCGUUCUAUGUUGCCAGCACGUCAUGGUGGGGACUCAUAGGAGACUGCCGGGGUCAACUCGGAGGAAGGUGGGGAUGACGUCAAAUCAUCAUGCCCCUUAUGUCUAGGGCUGCAAACAUGCUACAAUGGCCGGUACAAAGGGCUGCGAUACCGCGAGGUGGAGCGAAUCCCAAAAAGCCGGUCUCAGUUCGGAUUGGGGUCUGCAACUCGACCCCAUGAAGUUGGAGUCGCUAGUAAUCGCAGAUCAGCAACGCUGCGGUGAAUACGUUCCCGGGCCUUGUACACACCGCCCGU
rnacentral:rRNA from 1 species